AGGUAUCCACUCGCCUGGAAGUUGUGUUAAGCUUAGGUGUCUGUCUCUCCAGCCAGGGACCAUGGAUAUAAAACCCUUUAAAAAUCGUCACCAUGUUUCCACACAAGGCACCAAUACUGGUGAUGUUGAGGAUACAGGGAAACCUCUUCAUAAAGACCUCUACAGUGAUUUGUAUAUGAAAGUGGCCUUUAUCAUCAGGAAAGAUCAGCAAGGGAGAGUGAGAUUCACUUACGUAGCCUCUAACAGUACAUAGCCUCCAACAGUACGUAGUUUCCAACAGUACGCAGCCUCCAACAGUACGCAGCCAAAAAUUAGGACCAUCAUGAUGACUGACAAAAUUUAACAGAGAGUAGUAUUGAAUUGGGUCAGAUUGAAUGAAUAUAUGUUCAGCUUCUUAAAGUAGUCACAAUGACGUGCAAAAUUUAAGGUCUCCUACAAUGUCACAGGAGCUCUACAGUCAUGCACUGCAGAUGCUAUUAGGAAACGGACAAUCACCAUCAAAACUCGGUGAGAAUACAAUAGGAUGCUCCAAAGCAAAACCAUCAUAGCUAUGAUAACAUUGUGACAUACCAAUCUUCAUGAACAAAUAUUAGAUUUUUCUUGUGAUUAAUCCCACAGCACUCUGGAUACUAAUAUGUCACAUCAAUACAGUGAGAAUGCAUUACAGGGUGACAGGGGCUUAAGGAUCAUACCAUAGGCAAAGACUCCUAAAUUGAAAGAGUUUUGUGAGGAAUGGCAUCAGUCAAAUGGAAUAAAGAAUAUCCAAGGUGGUAUCUGGCCGUGCUAGGUGUAAAAACAAGAGUGGACACCUGGGUAUAACUAUUUACCUUCUACGGGCUAGAAAGCUUCAUUGCCAAAGUGGGGAUUCAAACACAAAGCAAAGCAAAGAUGCUUGCAAGGGAGUUUGGCGCUCAUCAUUGAAAUAUGAUUCCCGAUUUUGCAUCAGUUGAAAAAAGGAGGAAACAAAUAAAACAGUAAAUCUUCAGAAUGGUGUUCUUUUCCAUAUGUUGUGU